rnacentral:piRNA from 1 species
UGCAACAAUGAGUUCCAGGAAUUGGAGCUU